ACCUAAGAAAGGGAAGAAUCUUUUAGGUUGUCUAAAUUUCAGACUCUGAUGAAUCUAUAACAAGAGCAUUUUUUUGAUGCUAACUGAAGAUCUAGGAAGAAAACAAAUAAUUUGUAUCUUUUCUUCUCAUUUAUGUCAAACACCAGGUAGGUUAUCUUUAUAUACAAAUUAUCUAAAUUCUAAAUAAAUGCUUCAAUACAAUAAGCCGACGUACACACACAAGGGAAAUCAGGGAGUGAUACAACUCUCAAGCAUGUUAGUUUUUUGUUUGUAUAACUAUAUUACUUUUGUGUAAUCACAGCCAAGAAAGCGGAGAGGAGACAUUCAGGAACAGGGAGCAAGAAUACCUAAGCAUUUUCCCUAUACUGUCAGAAGCAUUUAUUUAUACAGCUAGAUUCAGAUGAGCAUUGUUAUAUGGAAGAAAUGACCAAGUGACCACGUGGUGCAAUACAAACGAGUGAAUUGCACAGUGGCAACAGAAAAGGUGAGUGGCUGCGCCUCCAGUCAUAACACAGCCAAAAGGCACAGUGCAGUGGUUUAAAACAACCACUUGUCUUCUGCUGUAGAGCCAUGCCUACCUUUGAAGACACUUGUCACAAAAAGAGUUCUAGACAGUCAAAGGCGAGAAGAAUGGUAAGAGAAACAUGAAGUAAAUCAGUGGAACAUCUAAAAAGAGGGAGAAGUGGGGAAGAUAAGAGAUGCACACACAGUUAAGUCUUAAAAGCAGAGAUCUAACUCUGCAUUUCUGAGCAGUACAACUGAAGAGAGAUGCUGCUUUAGAGAAGAUGAUGGUGAAAACAUGAGUGCUAGAACAAUGAAAGCGAGCAGAGUUUUUACUAAAAAGGAGAGACUGCACUACUGAAGGAAGGAUUUCAUGAGGAUGGAAACUAAUCUGAACUAGGACAGAAAGCAAAACUACUGUUCCUCCUCUGCCUUCCUUGAAUUUUAAGAGGGAGUCAGAAAACGGGAAAAAACCUUAACCACCAGUUACGGAGCUAGCUGACAAAGGACGGUUACAACAGCACCUGUAAUAUCAGAGAGGAUUUGACAAAAAAAUCCUGUAUACCUCUUAUUUUCAGCAUUACUGUCAUUCAGGAUAGAAGCAAGAACAGAUAGAGACAAGUAUGCAUUUGUGAUAUUUGUGAUUUGUUAAUGGCCAGAAUACAUACAGAUGGAGUUGUAUUAGCCACAUCCUGGAACUCACAGUUUUUGAGGAUAGAAGGGAAGAACAGGGAAAAGAGAGGGUGACUGCGCCAAGAACAAAGAAUAGAAGAAACUCUCCACUUACCCUUCCAAACAAAGGGAAGGGACAUAAUGAGGUGAACCACCAUGAAGCCAACAAUAAGACAACUGAGAAGGAAGUGAGCAAGACUUGUGGUCACUUACAGGUCAAGGAGGGCAAAAGUGACACAUGGAUUGGAGUUAUAGCAAGCAUCCUUGUUAAAUAAAGCUAUAUUAAAUAACAAGAUAAGUAAUCAAAAUCCUGGGGAGUAGUUUUAUUUGCCCAUAUAAUUUUGGCUUUUUAGCCAGUUAGGUUAGACAGUUAGAUGCCCUACUACACUUGCUUUAGGAAGAAAAUUAUUGCAGUUGAGAAGCUGUAAUUCGUGCUUUCUUUUUUACCUUUUAAGAAGCUAGUGUGGCUGCAUGUCAGCAUUGGAUGAAGUGACUAAUGCUUUCAACUUUUAAUUUGUGAGGAAAUAACAUUAAUGAGGAGAUAGAAAAAACCAAAAAUAAUCAUCAAGAAACUAAUCUAUUUUCACUGUGAUUUUUUUAGCUAUUGCUGCAGCAAUAGGAAGAUCAAUGAGAAUCCGAUUGCCUAAUGGGCAGAACUUCUCUUACCUUUAAACUAUAUUUUCAGAUCCUCAAAUCCAUAAAAUUUAUUCUUUAACUAGACAAAUCUGAAAGAAAUGCUUUUUUAUAUAUAUAUGCUACCUAAUGAACAGAUCUUCUGCAUGAUCCAUCUUCCCUUGUGUCUCACGAGGUAAGAUUUCAGGACAAGGAAUCCCUAAGCCGGGAGUAAUGUCUCUUGCAUGGAUCCAGAAGAGAUGAGCAUGACUACUUCUGUUUAAAACUUAAAAAUUCACAAGACUGGGGGUGGUGGUGUCACAUGUGCCAGAGGGAGGAGAAAGGCACUUCCACACUGGAAUUCUCAAUGUGACAUUUACAAGCAGCUUGUUUUCAGUCAUGAAGUGGGUGUGCUUGCCAGUCAACAUAACCAGACUUUCAAAUCCAACUCAGGACUCUCCUCCAGGAAUCUUAUCUUCUGACAACUCUUAAACUAUGUGGAUACACAAUAUGCUUUUAAUAUCUACUAAUAAGCUCACCUGAAGAUUUUCUUUUACAGGCUCCAAUUUGCCAGUCAGUAGCCUUGGAAGACGAAUUACCAGAUCCUUUGUCUACAAUUAGGCAAAACACACAAAGGAAAGAUUAUUACUGAAAGCUUGUUUGUGAAUCCAUCUGUGAAAGAAAGAGAUCUCAUAUAAACUUUUUUUUUCAGUUGGAAGAGGGAUGCUCUUUUACUUGCAUUGCAUUUUAUCUCUACCCCAAAUAUGAGUUUGCAUGAAGCAGCAGUAUAUUAAGAUGCAAAAAGUUACUCAAAUUGUUCCUCUGGAAAACAAAAAAUAACAUAGCUGUUGUAAAACAGACAGGAAAAGGGAGUAAAAGCAUAACCCAAAAGCAGAAAGCAUGGUCAAGUGCCCAAUCUCUCUCAGUGCUCAUGUUGUUUCUUCCCACCUUUUUAAAAACAAUAAACAAAACACUACCUGAUAGAAGCUAUGAAAGGAUUUUUCAGCUGCAGUGGAAUUUGUCUACCUCAGGAUCUGGUUAGACCCUAGUAUGAUGGCAAUACAAGAAAUUACUCCACAUCCCCUAAGACGUGAUUACUUGUAAUCCACUGUGAGUACAAGGCAGUGACUAAACCCUUUUCCAGAGAGAUCUCUUACCUCAAGCGUGGAAAGGCCAGCAACAGGCACUGUGACAGCUCUGACUGUUCAGCUAAUAGAAGCCAAUACAAGAACACCAGAUUCCACUUGGAACUUGACAUUUAUUGUAAUCCCCAGCUACUGCAGGAAACAACUAACACUGCCCACUUAUUCCAAGGAAGUCCAGCUACUACCUCUGAAGAUCCCGAAGCAUGGUGCUAAAUACCUGCUAAGCACGUAACGCGGUAAGCACUCAUGAGUGAACCCAGGGGUUACUCUCGGUGAGCUAAACAUAUGAUUUGGCAUUUAGUUUGAUAUGAUAUUCGCAGAUUAAGACUAUUUUUCACCGAUGAGUUAAGUAUGUUACAGUAUCUUGACGAGGUGAAGAGAGCCAAUUAAUUUUCUAGAAGUUAAAAAAGCUGCUUCCUGUUUCAGCAAUGGAUUCAGUCCUCUGACCCAUUUCAGAUAAUAAAACUGGACAUACACAUGCUUGUUUGACAAUAACCUGCAGCAGAUCAUCUUCAAGAACUGUACUUCAGGACCUUUGAACAUUAGGUGUCCAUAUUACUUCUAUAGACAGUUAAAAUCACGUUAUCCUCCUGUAACCCUCUGUGUAUUACCAUCGGUAAUGUCACUAAUGUUUGUGGAUAACCUCCAAACACUUGAAGUAUUCAUGUUCCAAGGCCUUACAGCUGUCACUAGCAAAGUACCUAAAGACUUCAGUGUACAGUCUUUACCUUUUUUACACUGAGACCAAGUUCAUUUUUGAAGAAACCCAGUCUGUUAUCCAGUCUUUCCACUGAAAACAACAGCAAAUAUGGAGCUCUUGAGACCAUCUGAGCAAUUUCUGCCUUACCAAAUUUUUUUGAUUUUAGGUAAGCCACUCUAGAAAGAGAACAAAAACAAAAUAAAAUCCAGUGAUGAAAA